rnacentral:rRNA from 1 species
UUAACUAAAUUAUAUAAUAUUAUAUUACACGAAGUUGAAGGAGCUAGUUAUUAUAUAUUUGUAGAUUUUGAGGUGUUGCAUAACUUAGUAAAUAAUAAUUAGGAGUGAUAGGCUUUCCACAUUUAACGAUAACUUGAUAAUCAAUAAAUGUAUAAGUACAUUGGCAUCCUUGAAGUGAUAAGGUUUUAAGGAUUAAUAUUAAUUGUUUCUUAAAUAAAAUAUUUUUGUUUAAUCACUUAUAUAAUAAUAUUCUAUAAUUAAUUUAAUAUAUUUAUUUAACUUAUUGAUUAAUGAAUAAAUAAUAUAAUUCAUAUAUAAUGUUAAUAUUAGUACUCUAUAGAUAUUAAAAAUGAACUCGGCAAUAAGCCCUUUAACUGUUUAUCAAAAACAUAGCCGCAAGGUAUGAUGUGCGGUGCUUUCUGCUCAAUGAUUAUUAAAUAGCCGCAGUACUCUGACUGUGCUAAGGUAGCGCAAUCAAUUGGCUUUUAAUUGGAGUCCGGUAUGAAGGAAAAUAUAAGGGGCUACUUUCUUAUUAAUAAUUAAUGAACUUACUUAAUAAGUGAAAAUACUUAUAAAUAAAUAAUAGACGAGAAGACCCUAGAAAUUUUAAGAAAUAACUUUUUGUUGGGGCAACAAAGUAGUAUUAGUUAAUCUACUAUUCUUACAUGCAAAUUAUAUCUUGAUAGAUAAAAUUACUCUAGGGAUAACAGCAUAAUUUGGAAAAGUUUGUGACCUCGAUGUUGGAUUAAGGUAUUAACAUUUAAAAG